CUGGAAGCCAGCAAACUGCGAAUGUCACUGAACAAGCAAUAGAUGAUCCACAGCUGGAUUUCCUUUCCAUUGAGGGUUCAUGACCAACUUUAUGCAUAGAUCCGAAACACAGAUUUCUUUUGUACGCGAAAGAGUGGAGAGGUGGAAACAGUGAGCCAGUGCAAGACUCACACAUGCUUCAUUCGUUGCAGGGAGCCCCUAUAGUC